AGAGUUUGAUCCUGGCUCAGAUUGAACGCUGGCGGCAUGCCUAACACAUGCAAGUCGAACGGUAACAUGGGGAGCUUGCUCCCUGAUGACGAGUGGCGGACGGGUGAGUAACGCGUAGGAAUCUGCCCAGUCGUGGGGGACAACUCGAGGAAACUCGAGCUAAUACCGCAUACGCCCUACGGGGGAAAGCGGGGGAUCUUCGGACCUCGCGCGAUUGGAUGAGCCUGCGUUGGAUUAGCUAGUUGGUGGGGUAAAGGCCUACCAAGGCGACGAUCCAUAGCUGGUCUGAGAGGACGAUCAGCCACACUGGGACUGAGACACGGCCCAGACUCCUACGGGAGGCAGCAGUGGGGAAUAUUGGACAAUGGGCGAAAGCCUGAUCCAGCAAUGCCGCGUGUGUGAAGAAGGCCUGCGGGUUGUAAAGCACUUUCAGUCGGGAGGAAGAGAGGGUCGUUAAUAGCGACUCAGGAUGACGUAACCGACAGAAGAAGCACCGGCUAACUCCGUGCCAGCAGCCGCGGUAAUACGGAGGGUGCGAGCGUUAAUCGGAAUUACUGGGCGUAAAGGGCGCGUAGGCGGCGUGAUCAGUCAGAUGUGAAAGCCCCGGGCUUAACCUGGGAAUUGCAUUUGAUACUGUCAUGCUCGAGUUUGGUAGAGGGGAGUGGAAUUUCCGGUGUAGCGGUGAAAUGCGUAGAGAUCGGAAGGAACACCAGUGGCGAAGGCGACUCCCUGGACCAAAACUGACGCUGAGGUGCGAAAGCGUGGGUAGCAAACAGGAUUAGAUACCCUGGUAGUCCACGCUGUAAACGAUGAGAACUAGCCGUUGGGCGCAAUUACGCGUUUAGUGGCGCAGCUAACGCAUUAAGUUCUCCGCCUGGGGAGUACGGCCGCAAGGCUAAAACUCAAAUGAAUUGACGGGGGCCCGCACAAGCGGUGGAGCAUGUGGUUUAAUUCGAUGCAACGCGAAGAACCUUACCUGGUCUUGACAUCCUGCGAACUUUCUAGAAAUAGAUUGGUGCCUUCGGGAACGCAGUGACAGGUGCUGCAUGGCUGUCGUCAGCUCGUGUCGUGAGAUGUUGGGUUAAGUCCCGUAACGAGCGCAACCCCUAUCCUUAUUUGCCAGCACGUCAUGGUGGGAACUAUAAGGAGACUGCCGGUGAUAAACCGGAGGAAGGCGGGGACGACGUCAAGUCAUCAUGGCCCUUACGACCAGGGCUACACACGUGCUACAAUGGGAAGGACAAAGAGCCGCGAAGCCGCGAGGUGUAGCUAAUCUCAGAAACCUUUUCGUAGUCCGGAUUGGAGUCUGCAACUCGACUCCAUGAAGUCGGAAUCGCUAGUAAUCGUAGAUCAGAAUGCUACGGUGAAUACGUUCCCGGGUCUUGUACACACCGCCCGUCAUACCAUGGGAGUGGGUUGCACCAGAAGUGGCUAGUCUAACUUAGUGAGGACGGUCACCACGGUGUGAUUCAUGACUGGGGUAAAGUCGUAACAAGGUAACC
rnacentral:rRNA from 1 species